rnacentral:rRNA from 1 species
UACGGAGGAUCCAAGCGUUAUCCGGAUUUAUUGGGUUUAAAGGGUGCGUAGGCGGCGUGUUAAGUCAGAGGUGAAAUUCGGCAGCUCAACUGUCAAAUUGCCUUUGAUACUGGCAUGCUUGAAUGCGAUUGAGGUAGGCGGAAUGUGACAUGUAGCGGUGAAAUGCUUAGAUAUGUGACAGAACACCGAUUGCGAAGGCAGCUUACCAAGUCGUUAUUGACGCUGAGGCACGAAAGCGUGGGGAGCAAACAGGAUUAGAUACCCUGGUAGUCCACGCUGUAAACGAUGAUAACUCGACGUUAGCGAUACACUGUUAGCGUCCAAGCGAAAGCGUUAAGUUAUCCACCUGGGAAGUACGAUCGCAAGGUUGAA